AUUGAACGCUGGCGGCAUGCUUUACACAUGCAAGUCGAACGGUAACAGGGAGCUUGCUCCGCUGACGAGUGGCGAACGGGUGAGUAAUGCGUCGGAACGUGCCGAGUAGUGGGGGAUAACGCAGCGAAAGUUGUGCUAAUACCGCAUACGUACUGAGGUAGAAAGUGGGGGACCUUCGGGCCUCACGCUAUUCGAGCGGCCGACGUCUGAUUAGCUAGUAGGUGAGGUAAAGGCUCACCUAGGCGACGAUCAGUAGCGGGUCUGAGAGGAUGAUCCGCCACACUGGGACUGAGACACGGCCCAGACUCCUACGGGAGGAAGCAGUGGGGAAUUUUGGACAAUGGGCGAAAGCCUGAUCCAGCCAUGCCGCGUGUCUGAAGAAGGCCUUCGGGUUGUAAAGGACUUUUGCCGGGGAGGAAAUCCCCAGCGCUAAUACCGCUGGGGGAUGACAGCACCUGAAGAAUAAGCACCGGCUAACUACGUGCCAGCAGCCGCCGUAAUAC
rnacentral:rRNA from 1 species